GGUUAAGCUGUAAAGAGCACAAGGUGGAUGCCUUGGCACUAAGAGCCGAUGAAAGACGUGAUAAGCUGCGAAAAGCUGCGGUGAGGAGCAAAUAUCCUAUGACCCGCA
rnacentral:ncRNA from 1 species